GCCAUUUUGAAAAGGCCCAGAAGGCGGGCUCAACUGCAAAGGCUUGCGUGGAAUCGCGAUCCCACCUUCGUCGCCAGUUUUAAAUAUCGACGGAGGGACGACGCGGCAGCCAGGGUUCAAACAACAACUGGUUUAUUCUAAGCUGACAGCGAUUCGAAGAACAGAACGCGCGCCAAAGGUGAUGCAGCUCAAAAGUUAUCUUCUAUUGGAGCACAUAUACACAUAUACAUAGUCUUCCAGGAAAUCACCAACCAACAUGUCCAAUGAUGAUAGCUGAAGGACAUCAAACUGAGUCAUGUAAAGAUCCUAGCAAGGCUUGGGACUUUUGGAGUCGAUGAAUAAAGUGCUCACGAGAAGGGAAAGGGCAACAGAAAACUGCUUCAGUGGAGCCUAAUGGCCUCAGUCCUGAGGUAUUGGGGGUUAGCUCACUCUUCCAGCUCUUAUUGGGCAUAUAAACACCACAGGCUGUUUAUUCUUGAUUUUUUUUUUCUUUUGAGUUCCAGCAGCACAAUGAGCUAUGGAGGAUGUACGUUGGCUAGUUUACACAACACAUUAAACUAAAACCAAAUUGGCUAGGUUGUGGCUUAAUGUAUUAUAUAGUCAGUCGCUGUGGUGUAUUUGGUUUAGCACUGAUUGCACUGUCUUGGCAGGCCAGUGAUUAUACUUCAAAAGAGCAGAAAAAGAGAUGAGGCAGAUAGUAAACUGUGUUUCAUUUUAUUUAUAUUUUCAUGUAAGAACAAAUGAAUUCAAUGUAGGUAGCAUUAUUUCCAUCUAUUAAAUAAUUUCUGUUAUAUCAAGCAACAGCUGGUGGCCCCUUUGAUGGAAUGUUUGAGUAGAGAGCAGGGAUUCUAGCACCUCUGUGCAUGUCUGCAAUAAUUAUGAGCUAUAAACCAUGGUUUAUGGUUUGAGCUCCUUGAAGAAAUAUAAGUGCUGUUUCAUCUGAUCUCGCAUAUCCAUAAGUGUUAGAUAUCAGUUUCCAUAAUUCCUUACCAGUAUUAUCAAAGGAAGCGAUUAUGGAAAAUACCCAGGUCACCAUUGAUCAGGUUUAAGGAAAACCAACUUUUCUUUAAGUACUGGAAAAUAAGUACUGUCAAGGUUCAGUGCAAGCCAUACUAGUAUUCCAAACCAAUGAGUCUUAAUGUCUGGUUAAAAUGCGUAGUACUUCCAUUUAAAGAAGAAAAGCAUAGCUCAGACUAUUGCUAUGAUUUUUUUCCUUCUAUAUUCUGUUGUUUAAGUAUAAAUUUUGUUAAUGUAGAAAUUUUACUUCCAGCCUAUUAAACAACUGAUCUAGCUGUCUGUCUAUAUCUAUUAGGAGUGAAUUCCACUGAAAGAGAGUAGCCUUACUGCCGACCAAGCAUGCAUAGGCUUUAGGUAGUUGAGAGACAAGGUAUUGAUUACUAUCAGAUGUAUUAUAGAGAGAAAUGAGAACUUCUGUAACAACAGGUACUUUCCCCAAACCUCCUUUCAUGCACACAUACCUAGAUGCCUUUUAUUAAUGCUGACAUCUACUCAGGCAAGUAGCUUAACUUUUCCCCCUUUAUAGACAAACUUGUCUGCUUUUAAUAUGUGUACGUCAGGCAGAAAAUGAACAAUUAAAUGUUUGCAACAAAACAAAGCUUCAAUUGGCCCAGCGUGUAUGUUAAGAACAGAGGCCAGUCGUUGCAAACAAAGAGGCAGUCUUAAUGGGGGAAAAAAUGGUGCUGACUGUUCACACAUCACAUUAAGUCAUGGUGCAAUAUUGAUAUAUUACAGAGGUCACAUUUGGCUGUCUUCAUAUAAUACCAAGCUAAAAAUGUUGAUUUAAAAACCAGUCAUUUGGUUCAUACUUUGUGCUAAGCUAAAACUAAAUAAGCCACAUUAUAGUUGGCUUGGGUUACCAUAUCAGGCUUGCAAAAACCCAGGUGACCACUAAAUGGCAGCAAAGAAUUGAGACUUUUUGUAAUUUUAUAUUCAAGGGAGUGGAGUAGUACCGGCAGUGCUGUAAAAUCUAAAUUGUACUUUUUACGCAAAGCUCAACUCCUCCCAUUUCCCUAAUUGAUACGAAGUUCUGAGAAUAAAUCUGGGUUUGAAUAAGCAGAGCAACAAACUUGGUUCAUAUAUAAAUCAUUCUAUGGUAAGCUGCCCAGAGUCAUGUAUAUGAGAUGGGUGACUAGUAUGUAUAUAAAUAAAAAAAAAGCUGGAGGCAAUGGCAUGCCACUUCUGAAAAAUCUUGCCAAGAAAACUGCGAGUCCACUCAGUUGCCAGAAGCAACUGAACUUUUAGGGACGCACAAAUAAGAACUAGGCAGAAC